AACGAACGCUGGCGGCGUGCCUAACACAUGCAAGUCGAGCGCGAAAGGAGCAAUCCGAGUAGAGCGGCGCACGGGUGCGUAACACGUGGAUAAUCUGCCUCAGGGUUGAGGAUAACCUUCCGAAAGGUUGGCUAAUACUCGGUAAGCUUACGGUGACUUCGGUCGCUGUGAGAAAACUAGACCUCUAUUUAUAAGUUUAGGCCCAGAGAUGAGUCCGCGGCCCAUCAGCUAGUUGGCGGGGUAACGGCCCACCAAGGCUACGACGGGUAGCUGGUCUGAGAGGACGACCAGCCACACUGGAACUGAGACACGGUCCAGACUCCUACGGGAGGCAGCAGUGGGGAAUUUUCCACAAUGGGCGAAAGCCUGAUGGAGCAACGCCGCGUGUGUGAUGAAGGUCUUCGGAUCGUAAAGCACUUUCGACUGGGACGAAAAACCUUUGGCUAACAUCCAGGGGCCUGACGGUACCAGGAGAAGAAGCACCGGCUAACUCUGUGCUAGCCGCCGCAGUAAAAC
rnacentral:rRNA from 1 species